AUUGAACGCUAGCGGCAUGCUUUACACAUGCAAGUCGAACGAGUGGCGGACGGGUGAGUAAUAUAUCGGCACGUGCCCAAUCGCGGGAGCUAACUGCUCGAAAGAUUGGCUACUACCGCUUACGGUUCGAGCGGCCGUUAUCGGAUUAGCUAGUUGGGGGGGUAAAGGCUCACCAAGGCGACGCUACGUAGCUGGUUUGAGAGGAUGACCAGCCACACUGGGACUGAGACACGGCCCAGACUCCUACGGGAGGCAGCAGUGGGGAAUUUUGGACAAUGGGGGAAACCCUGAUCCAGCCAUCCCGCGUGUAUGAGAAGGCCUUCGGGUUGUAAAGCACUGUUGGCAGAGAAGCGGUAUCUGAAGAAUAAGCACCGGCUAACUACGUGCCAGCAGCCGCGGUAAUUC
rnacentral:rRNA from 1 species